UGAGAAAGGGAAAGAGACUCAGAAUUUAACUUUACUUUGACUUUGUCUUUGCUUUUGUUUUCCUUUGUUAAUUGUGAUUAAGUUAAUUGCUGUUCAUUCCAAUUACAUUCCAAUUGAUUAGAAAUCAUGACUUUCUGGAGAGAAGCUGGUUUAAAUUAUCUUCAAUACAGCCGAAUUGCUGGUCGAAUAGUUCGACAAUCAUUGAAAAAGGAUGUCAAGGUUGGAGAUAGAGAGGCAAGAAAUCAAUCAACUAUCAAAAUAGUUGAAGCCAAAAAGAAUUGAAUUGAUUAAUCAACUGAAAAUCAACAUGUUCCAAAACAAAGAAGAUUUUUAUAAUGUAAUCUACUUUUUUCAUUAAAAGUUAUACAUUUCCAAUUCUAA